rnacentral:sRNA from 1 species
ACUCCUCCAUUUGCUGCGGACAGAUAAAGUGGAUGUGUGAAUCAAACCCACCCGCCGUCAGGAUGCGCCCCUCGCCUGCAAUGGCCUCGGUUCCCGGACCGACGAUAAUGUCGACGUUUGGCUGGGUGUCAGGGUUUCCCGCCUUGCCGAUCUUGUGGAUACGCCCGUCUUUCAAUCCAACAUCGGCUUUGUAAAUUCCCGAAUGAUCAACAAUCAGCGCAUUGGUAAUGACCGUAUCAACAGCGCCCUGCGCACGGGUGGUCUGGGCCUGCCCCAUGCCAUCACGAAU